rnacentral:rRNA from 1 species
UGGUUGAUCCUGCCAGUAGUGAUAUGCUUGUUUCAAAGAUUAAGCCAUGCAUGUCUAAGUAUAAGCGAACUUAUACAGUGAAACUGCGGAUGGCUCAUUAAAACAGUUUGAAUUUAUUUGAUGAAUGUAUGAGAAUACUACUUGGAUAACCGUAGUAAUUCUAGAGCUAAUACAUGCAACGACGCCCGACCGUUUCACUACGGAAGGGCUGUAUUUAUUGGAUACCAAAACCAUCCUUCCCUCGGGAAGUUUUGUUUGAUGAUUCACAAUAACUGAUCGGAUCGCCACUGUGGUGGCGACAGGUCAUUCAACAUUCUGCCCUAUCAGCUUUCGAUGGUUGUGUAGUGGACAACCAUGGCCAUAACGGGUAACGGAGAAUCAGGGUUCGAUUCCGGAGAAGGAGCUUGAGAAUUGGCUACUACAUCUAAGGAAGGCAGCAGGCGCGCAAAUUACCCAAUCCCGAUUCGGGGAGGUAGUGACAAAAAAUAACAAUACCGGGCCUUUUUGGGCUUGGUAAUUGGAAUGAGGGAGAGUUAAACGGACCAUCGAGUAUCCAUUGGAGGGCAAGUCUGGUGCCAGCAGCUGCGGUAAUACCAGCUCCAAUAGCGUAUAUUAAAGUUGUUGCAGUUAAAAAGCUCGUAGUUGGACUUGUGUGCGCUGUCCGCGGGUGGCCUGCGCCCAAAAGGGCGUUUCGGUUCGGCCCCGGUGGCGCCUUGAAAUCUGCAGCUGGGGGGACGUUGGCCUUAACUGGUCGGCGACCGCACGCCGGCUGCUCGGUUACUGUGAGAAAAUUAGAGUGUUCAAGGCAGGCAUUGGGUGCAAUUGAAUACAUUAGCAUGGAAUAAUAAAAUAUGGCUCCUGCCGUAUUUUGUUGGUUUUGACUGGUGGGAGUAAUGAUUGAUAGGGACGGUUGGGGGUGCUAGUAUUGAGCGGCCAGAGGUGAAAUUCAUGGAUUCGCUCAAGACUAACUUAUGCGAAAGCAUUCACCAAGGACGUCCUCUUUAAUCAAGAACGAAAGUUGGGGGAUCGAAGACGAUCAGAUACCGUCGUAGUCUCAACCAUAAACUAUGUCGACUUGGGAUCGGCGGUAGUUUUUUCAUUAAGACACUGUCGGGACCACGGGAGAAAUCAAAGUGUCUGGACUCUGGGGGAAGUAUGGUCGCAAGGCUGAAACUUGAAGGAAUUGACGGAAGGGCACCACCAGGAGUGGAGCCUGC